UACGGAGGGGGCUAGCGUUGUUCGGAAUUACUGGGCGUAAAGCGCGCGUAGGCGGAUCUGCAAGUCGGGGGUGAAAUCCCGAGGCUCAACCUCGGAACUGCCUUCGAUACUGCGGGUCUCGAGUCCGGGAGAGGUGAGUGGAAUUCCUAGUGUAGAGGUGAAAUUCGUAGAUAUUCGCAAGAACACCAGUGGCGAAGGCGGCUCACUGGCCCGGUACUGAACGCUG
rnacentral:rRNA from 1 species